rnacentral:rRNA from 1 species
UACGUAGGGGGCAAGCGUUGUCCGGAUUUAUUGGGCGUAAAGAGCUCGUAGGUGGUUCGGUAAGUCGGAUGUGAAAUCUCCAGGCUCAACCUGGAGGGGUCAUUCGAUACUGCCGUGACUAGAGUUCGGUAGGGGAGUGUGGAAUUCCUGGUGGAGCGGUGAAAUGCGCAGAUAUCAGGAGGAACACCGGUGGCGAAGGCGAGUCCCUGGACAACACCUGACACUGAGGCACGAAAGCUAGGGGAGCAAACAGG